AGUGAACGCUGGCGGUAGGCCUAACACAUGCAAGUCGAACGGCAGCACAGUAAGAGCUUGCUCUUACGGGUGGCGAGUGGCGGACGGGUGAGGAAUACAUCGGAAUCUACUUUUUCGUGGGGGAUAACGUAGGGAAACUUACGCUAAUACCGCAUACUACCUACGGGUGAAAGCAGGGGAUCUUCAGACCUUGCGCGAUUGAAUGAGCCGAUGUCGGAUUAGCUAGUUGGCGGGGUAAAGGCCCACCAAGGCGACGAUCCGUAGCUGGUCUGAGAGGAUGAUAGGCCACACUGGAACUGAGACACGGUCCAGACUCCUACGGGAGGCAGCAGUGGGGAAUAUUGGGCAAUGGGCGCAAGCCUGAUCCAGCCAUACCGCGUGGGUGAAGAAGGCCUUCGGGUUGUAAAGCCCUUUUGUUGGGAAAGAAAAGCAGCAGGUUAAUACCCCGCUGUUCUGACGGUACCCAAAGAAUAAGCACCGGCUAACUUCGUG
rnacentral:rRNA from 1 species